GUAAAGCGCACGCAGGCGGUCUGUUAAGCUAGAUGUGAAAGCCCCGCGCUCAACGUGGAGGUCAUUUAGAACUGGCAGACUAGAGUCUUGGAGAGGGGAGUGGAAUUCCAGGUGUAGCGGUGGAAUGCGUAGAGGUCUGGAGGAACAUCAAUGGCGAAGGCAACUCCCUGGCCAAAGACUGACGCUCAUGUGCGAAAAGUGUGGGUAGCGAACAGGGAUUAGAUACCCUGGUAGUCCACGCCGUAAACGAUCAUCACUCGCUGUUGGCGAUAUACUGACAGCGGCCAAGCGAAAGUAUUAAGUGAUGCACCUGGGGAGUACGCCGGCAACGGUGAAACUCAAAGGAAUUGACGGGGGCCCGCACAAGCGGUGGAGCAUGUGGUUUAAUUCGAUGCAACGCGAAGAACCUUACCUACUCUUGACAUACUAGAAACUUUUCAGAGAUGAAUUGGUGCCUUCGGGAAUCUAGAUACAGGUGCUGCAUGGCU
rnacentral:rRNA from 1 species